AUCGCCUAAUCUAAAUUUUUGUGCACUCAUCCAAGCAGGAAUUAUUAAAGGUAAAUCAAGCAGCAUCUUGUGAAUGGAGUAUCUACUUCUAAAGAGAUCUGAAUCAUUUGACCCGAGAGGUCAAGCACUCUUGAUUCAGUGCUCUUCCAUCACUAGUCUUUGGCGAAGGCACCAUGGCUCCGUUUUGCCCCGAAGAGAACUCUGCGGUAAAUGUGUGAAGGUGGAAUUGUGUAUGGUCAGGUAGAUGCUGGUCUUUCUGUAGCUGCUCACUCCCAAAAUGGGCAUCAGAGCAGUCAGCAGGGCGAAAAGCCACCCAGCCGCCAUUAUUGUGAGGCAUGGCGCAGGCGCAGCUGCAUAGCGUAAGUGAUGGUGUGCCAGCGCUCCAGGGCAAUGGCAGUCAGAGUGUAAACAAACAGCUCGCUGGAGAAAACUGUGAAGAAGCCUGCCACAUGGCACCCAGCUCCCAUCUGCCAGUCCAAUAUAUAAAGGAUGUAACUGAACUCACAAUUUUUCAAUUUUGCUACCAUUGAAUGCAUAGCUAUUAAUCUCACAGAUCCCAUGCCCUGUUAAUCUCCUGCAUUAGUACAUUAAGUUAGGCCACUUUUCAAAAGUUUGGGGCUGGUAAGAUUUUUUUAUGUUUAACUUUACUGUUUUAAUUUAUUUUACACUGUAACUAAUUCCUGUGAUGACAAAGCUGAAUUUUUAG
ensembl:lncRNA